UAACACGUGGGUAACCUGCCUGUAAGACUGGGAUAACUCCGGGAAACCGGAGCUAAUACCGGAUAGUUCCUUGAACCGCAUGGUUCAAGGAUGAAAGACGGUUUCGGCUGUCACUUACAGAUGGACCCGCGGCGCAUUAGCUAGUUGGUGAGGUAACGGCUCACCAAGGCGACGAUGCGUAGCCGACCUGAGAGGGUGAUCGGCCACACUGGGACUGAGACACGGCCCAGACUCCUACGGGAGGCAGCAGUAGGGAAUCUUCCGCAAUGGACGAAAGUCUGACGGAGCAACGCCGCGUGAGUGAUGAAGGUUUUCGGAUCGUAAAGCUCUGUUGUUAGGGAAGAACAAGUGCAAGAGUAACUGCUUGCACCUUGACGGUACCUAACCAGAAAGCCACGGCUAACUACGUGCCAGCAGCCGCGGUA
rnacentral:rRNA from 1 species